rnacentral:rRNA from 1 species
AGUGAACGCUGGCGGUAGGCCUAACACAUGCCAGUCGAACGGCAGCACAGUAAGAGCUUGCUCUUACGGGUGGCGAGUGGCGGACGGGUGAGGAAUACAUCGGAAUCUACUUUUUCGUGGGGGAUAACGUAGGGAAACUUACGCUAAUACCGCAUACGACCUACGGGUGAAAGCAGGGGAUCUUCGGACCUUGCGCGAUUGAAUGAGCCGAUGUCGGAUUAGCUAGUUGGCGGGGUAAAGGCCCACCAAGGCGACGAUCCGUAGCUGGUCUGAGAGGAUGAUCAGCCACACUGGAACUGAGACACGGUCCAGACUCCUACAGGAGGCAGCAGUGGGGAAUAUUGGACAAUGGGCGCAAGCCUGAUCCAGCCAUACCGCGUGGGUGAAGAAGGCCUUCUGGUUGUAAAGCCCUUUUGUUGGGAAAGAAAAGCAGCAGGUUAAUACCCCGCUGUUCUGACGGUACCCAAAGAAUAAGCACCGGCUAACUUCGUG